rnacentral:rRNA from 1 species
AGAGUUUGAUCCUGGCUCAGGGUUAACGCUGGCGGCGUGCCUAACACAUGCAAGUCGAACGGUUCUAAGCGCGAGCUUAGGAUAGUGGCGAACGGGUGAGUAAAAGGUAGGAAUCUACCCCUUGGACGGAGAUAGCUACUGGAAACGGUAGGUAAACUUCGAUAAGCCCGAGAGGGGAAAGUGGUGAGACAGCCGAGGGAUGAGCCUACUCUCCAUCAGGUAGUUGGUGAGAUAAAAGCUUACCAAGCCGAUGACGGAUAACCGGUGUGAGAGCAUGAACGGUCACAAGGGCACUGAGAGACGGGCCCUACUCCUACGGGAGGCAGCAGUGGGGAAUCUUGGACAAUGGGCGAAAGCCUGAUCCAGCGACGCCGCGUGGAGGAAGAAGUCCUUCGGGAUGUAAACUUCUGAACUAGCCGAAUAAAAGGCCUGUGGACACACAGGAGAAGAAAGUAGGCUAGGAAAAGUCCCGGCUAACUACGUGCCAGCAGCCGCGGUAAGACGUAGGGGGCAAGCGUUACCCGGAAUUACUGGGCGUAAAGGGGGCGUAGGCGGUAAAAGAAGUCAUCUGUGAAAACCUAUUGCUCAACGAUAGGCUAGCGGAUGAAACUGAAUUACUUGAGGGCACCAGAGGUAGACGGAAUUACCCGAGUAGGGGUGAAAUCCGCAGAUACGGGUAGGAACGCCGGUGGAGAAGUCGGUCUACUGGGGUGCACCAGACGCUGAGGCCCGAAAGCUAGGGGAGCAAACCGGAUUAGAUACCCGGGUAGUCCUAGCCGUAAACGAUGCUCACUAGGUGUAGGGAGUGAUAAACUCUCUGUGCUGAAGCGAACGCGCUAAGUGAGCCGCCUGGGGAGUACGUCCGCAAGGAUGAAACUCAAAUGAAUUGACGG